rnacentral:rRNA from 1 species
AUUGAACGCUGGUGGCAGGCCUAACACAUGCAAGUCGAGCGGAUGAAGGGAGCUUGCUCCUGGAUUCAGCGGCGGACGGGUGAGUAAUGCCUAGGAAUCUGCCUGGUAGUGGGGGAUAACGUCCGGAAACGGGCGCUAAUACCGCAUACGUCCUGAGGGAGAAAGUGGGGGAUCUUCGGACCUCACGCUAUCAGAUGAGCCUAGGUCGGAUUAGCUAGUUGGUGGGGUAAAGGCCUACCAAGGCGACGAUCCGUAACUGGUCUGAGAGGAUGAUCAGUCACACUGGAACUGAGACACGGUCCAGACUCCUACGGGAGGCAGCAGUGGGGAAUAUUGGACAAUGGGCGAAAGCCUGAUCCAGCCAUGCCGCGUGUGCGAAGAAGGUCUUCGGAUUGUAAAGCACUUUAAGUUGGGAGGAAGGGCAGUAAGUUAAUACCUUGCUGUUUUGACGUUACCAACAGAAUAAGCACCGGCUAACUUCGUG